rnacentral:snRNA from 1 species
AUCUCUUUGCCUUUUGGCUUAGAUCAAGUGUAGUAUCUGUUCUUUUCAGUGUAACAACUGGAAUGUCCUCAAUGAGGAUGUUUAAUAUGUUACAAGCCCUAUUUUUGGAAAUGAAUUAGAGGGAAGAGGGUGUUUUUCUGUUUGAUGCGGAUUAGCCCAGGUGUGUGUCACUGUCU